rnacentral:rRNA from 1 species
CCCUUAGAUGUUCUGGGCUGCACGCGCGCGACAAUGACGUUUGCAACGAGAUUGCGAGGCCGUCAGGUCGAGCUGAUCUUGCAAGCUGCGUCGUGAUAGGGACAGUCGAUUGCAAUUAUUCGACUCGAACGAGGAAUUCCUUGUAAUCGCGCAUCAUCAGUGCGCGCUGAAUACGUCCCUGCCCUUUGUACACACCGCCCGUCGCUGCCCGGAACUGAGCCGUUUCGAGAAGACUGGGGACUGCGAACUUUGGGCUGGAAAACAGCUUUUUGUUUGUGGAAACCACUUUAAUCGCAGCGGCUUGAACCGGGCAAAAGUCGUAACA